CCUACGGGAGGCAGCAGUGGGGAAUUUUGGACAAUGGGCGAAAGCCUGAUCCAGCCAUUCCGCGUGCAGGAUGAAGGCCCUCGGGUUGUAAACUGCUUUUGUACAGAACGAAAAGGUUUCUAUUAAUACUAGGAGCUCAUGACGGUACUGUAAGAAUAAGCACCGGCUAACUACGUGCCAGCAGCCGCGGUAAUACGUAGGGUGCAAGCGUUAAUCGGAAUUACUGGGCGUAAAGCGUGCGCAGGCGGUUAUAUAAGUCAGAUGUGAAAUCCCCGGGCUCAACCUGGGAACUGCAUUUGAGACUGUAUAGCUAGAGUACGGUAGAGGGGGAUGGAAUUCCGCGUGUAGCAGUGAAAUGCGUAGAUAUGCGGAGGAACACCGAUGGCGAAGGACAAUCCCCUGGACCUGUACUGACGCUCAUGCACGAAAGCGUGGGGAGCAAACAGGAUUAGAUACCCUGGUAGUCCACGCCCUAAACGAUGUCAACUGGUUGUUGGGUCUUAACUGACUCAGUAACGAAGCUAACGCGUGAAGUUGACCGCCUGGGGAGUACGGCCGCAAGUUGAAACUCAAAUGAAUUGACGG
rnacentral:rRNA from 1 species